rnacentral:tRNA from 2 species
AGGGGUAUAGUUCAAUGGUAGAGCAACGGUCUCCAAAACCGUAAGUCUAGGUUCGAAUCCUAGUAUCCCUGCCA